rnacentral:rRNA from 1 species
AGGGCGCAGGGCGGAUGCCUUGGCUCACGGAGGCGAUGAAGGACGUGAUAAGCUGCGAUAAGCCGCGGUAAGGCGCAAAUGGCCUGUGACCCGCGGAUUUCCGAAUGGGACAACCCGUCCGCUCGAACGGCGGACAUCGCAUCAAUACGGUGCGAGGCGAACCGGGGGAACUGAAACAUCUUAGUACCCCGAGGAAGAGAAAAUAAAUCAAUGAUUCCCCCAGUAGUGGCGAGCGACCGGGGAAGAGCCCAAACCGCCGCUGUCUUCGGGCAGGGGCGGGGUUGUAGGAACGCCAUGAUGGCAUGUGAUGACGAGCGGAACCGUCUGGAAAGACGGACCGCAGAAGGUGACAGUCCUGUAUGCGAAGUCAGGGCAUGCCAGGCGUACUCCUGAGUAACGCGGGACACGAGUAAUCCUGCGCGAAUCCGCCGGGCCCAUCCGGCAAGGCUAAAUACUCCCGUGAGACCGAUAGUGUACCAGUACCGUGAGGGAAAGGUGAAAAGAACCCCGAGCAGGGGAGUGAAAGAGCUCCUGAACCCCUGCGCCUACAAGCGGUCGGAGCAUGUAUAUCAUGUGACGGCGUGCCUUUUGCAUAAUGAACCUACGAGUUGCCGUCGCCGGCAAGGUUAAGGAUGAUGACAUCCGUAUCCGCAGUGAAAGCGAGCCUGAACAGGGCGUAUGAGUCGGCGGAGGCAGACGCGAAACCAAGUGAUCUACACUUGGCCAGGAUGAAGUCCCGGUAACACGGGAUGGAGGUCCGCACCGAUAAGCGUUGAAAAGCUUCCGGAUGAGCCGAGUGUAGGAGUGAAAGGCCAAUCAAACUUGGAGAUAGCUCGUACUCCCCGAAAUGCAUUUAGGUGCAGCGUGCGGUGUUAGUCAUGUGAGGUAGAGCGACCGAUAGGAUGAGGGGGUUUCACCGCCUGCCAAGUCCUGACGAACUCCGAAUGCGCAUGAGUCGCAGCCGUGCAGUAAGGGGGCGGGUGCUAAGGUCCGUCCCCGAGAGGAGAAGAAUCCAGACCGCCGUCUAAGGUCCCGGAAUUCUGUCUGAGUUAGUCUAACGAAGUGAGGUCCCGAAGACAGCCAGGAUGUUGGCUUGGAAGCAGCCAUUCAUUCAAAGAGUGCGUAACAGCUCACUGGUCGAGGGUCCUUGCGUGGAUAAUAAUCGGGUAUAAGACAGAUACCGAAGGCGCGGGAUAGCAAUUUUAAAAGUAUCGGUAGGGGAGCAUUCCAUACGCGUCGAAUGGAAAGGGUGACCUUUCCUGGAGCGUAUGGAAAAGCAAAUGUAGGUAUAAGUAACGACAAGGGGACUGAGAUUGUCCCCCGCCGCAAGACCGAGGUUUCCCGGGCAAUGCCAAUCAACCCGGGGUCAGUCGGGUCCUAAGUUUAAGCCGAACGGCGAGAGCGAUGGCAGAUACGGUCAACAUUCCGUAACUGCCGCACACGGCGAUGUGGUGACGGAGCAGUGGAACCGCCGCGGACCGACGGAAUGGUCCGUUGAAGGGUGUAGGUGUUGAGGAGGACAGGCAAAUCCGUCCUCCGAGCCGAACCUGAGAGUAUGCCGGUCUUCUCGGAGACAGGCAAUAGCGCGGGUAAUCAUACUCCCGAGAAAAACCGCUAAGCAACGUGUGCGGCACCCGUACCGCAAACGGACACACGUGGUCGUGUAGAACAUACUGAGGCGUUGAGAGAUUCAUGGUUAAGGAACUAGGCAAACUGACCCCGUAACUUCGGGAUAAGGGGUCCUCACCUUAUGGUGAGGCGCAGAGAAUAGGUCCAGGCAACUGUUUAACAAAAACACAGGGCUGUGCUAACUCGAAAGAUGAAGUAUACAGCCUGACACCUGCCCGGUGCCGGAAGGUUAAGAGGAGAUGUCACCGCAAGGGAAGCAUUGAAUUGAAGCCCCGGUAAACGGCGGCCGUAACUAUAACGGUCCUAAGGUAGCGAAAUUCCUUGUCGGGUAAGUUCCGACCUGCACGAAUGGUGUAAUGAUCUGGACGCUGUCUCAACCGUGAGCUCAGUGAAAUUGUAGUAUCGGUGAAGAUGCCGAUUACCCGCGAUGGGACGAAAAGACCCCGUGAACCUUUACUGCAGUGACUUAUGUCAUAAGGGGCUGCGGAUAAUAUGUCUUUAUCCUUUUCGGCGCACAAAAAGAACAACGUCUUUUUCUGCACGCUAGGUUAGUUUAUUACGUUUUUUUAAGAAAGUCAAGGGAUUUGCCAACUUUUCCGCCUUUUUCAUGUCUUUUUUCUUUUUUUCAUUCUUUCUUUAUAAAAUUGCUCCGUCUUUUCACAGUCAUAUCUUUAAAAUAAAUGAUAAAAAACGGGAAAAUCACGGUUAUCUUCUCAGAUAAUCCAUAACUUUCCCGUCUCUGUUAUCUCUUUAUUCAGACUGUCCGAAUGCCUUCGGCAUCAGAAUUAUUUUUCCUGAUUUCUUCUUCUGAAUCCGAAUACGAACGCUACCGCUGCAAGGAGUAAUGUUCCCGCAUAUACAAACAGGUUUGAGCUGUCGCCUGUCUGCACUGCCGAAUUUCCUGUGCCGCUGCCUCCUGUACUUCCAUUUCCGCCUGCGUUUCCACUACCGUUUCCGCUUCCGCCUGUGCUUCCACUGCCGUUUCCGUUUCCGCCUGUGCUUCCAUUUCCGUUUCCUUCACCGUUUCCAUCGCCGCUUCCGCCGUCGACCGGUUUCAGAUUCUGGAUUGCCGUAUUCAAUGCAAGCGUUGCCUGAUCGAUUUCAUCCUGAUCUGCAUCUGCUUUUUCAAG